rnacentral:rRNA from 1 species
UAUAUUUUUUUUAUAUAUUUUUGGUUUUAUAAAAUUAAAAAAAAUAAUUUUUUUUUUAGUAUUUUUGAGAAAAAAAUUUAUUUGAAUAGUACUGUGAAGGAAUAAAUUAAUUUUAUUAAAAUCAGUUAUUUUUAAUGUACCUUUUGUAUCAGGGUUUAUUAAAUUUUACAAUUUAUUUUGUUUUCUCGAAAUUUUAAGAUUUAUAUUAGUAUGUUGGUUUAUGUGACAAUAUGUUCAAUAAUGUUAAUAUAGUGAAUAUAUUUUAUUCAAUUAAAAAUAUCUAGUUUUCUGAUAAAUGGAUUUAAUCCAUUAAUAAAUGGAUGUUUACUUUUAUUUACAUUUAUUUUUAUUUAAAGGGGGAUAAGCUUUUUUAAAUGACUAAAAAUUUUAAUUUUUAUACUUAUUGUAGGAUUAAUAAUAUUCAUCUCUUAUUUUGUAAAAAUUAUUUUUAUAAUCUUUUUAAUUUUUUAUUUUUUAGUUGAACAUCAGAAUAAUUAAUUUAAUUUUUAAAUUUUUAAAAAAAUGAUAAAAUUAGUAUAUUUUUUAAAUAAAUUAUAGUAAUUCGGCAAAUAUAAUUUUCACCUGUUUAACAAAAACAUGGUUUUUUGUUUUUAUAAAAAAUUUGGCCUGCCCAAUGAUUAUUUUAAUGGCUGCAGUAUUUUGACUGUACAAAGGUAGCAUAAUCACUUGUCUUUUAAUUGAAGUCUGGUAUGAAUGGUUAGAUGAGAAAUUUACUUUCUUUAUUUUAUAAAUAAAAAUUGAUUUCUAAAUCAAAAAGUUUAGAUGUUUUUAUAGGACGAGAAGACCCUAUAGAACUUGACUCCCCUUAAUUUUAUUAUUUACUUGUAAAUAAUUUUUUAUUAUUUUUAAGGGGAGUUUUAUUGGGGUGAUAAAAAAAAUUUUUUAACUUUUUUUAUUUUUUUCACUUAUAUGUGAUUUUUUGAUCCUUUAUUAAGGAUAAUAAGAUUAAGUUACCUUAGGGAUAACAGCGUUAUUAUUUUAGAGAGUUCAUAUUGAUAAAAUAGUUUGCGACCUCGAUGUUGGAUUAAAAUUAGUGUCAGGGGUAUAAUAUUGAUUACUAGGUCUGUUCGACCUUUAAAUUUUUACAUGAUCUGAGUUCAGACCGGCGUGAGCCAGGUCGGUUUCUAUCCUUAAAUUUUUUAAAAAGGUUUAGUACGAAAGGACCAAUUUUUUAAAAUAUUUUUUAUUAUUUUGAUUGAUACU